CCCUUAGAUGUCCUGGGCCGCACGCGUGCUACACUGAUGCAUACAGCGAGUACUCCCAGCUCCGAGAGGCUGCUGGUAAUCAGCAAUAUGCAUCGUGAUGGGGAUAGAUCUUUGGAAUUAUAGAUCUUGAACGAGGAAUUCCUAGUAAUCGCAGGUCAUCACCCUGCGUUGACUAAGUCCCUGCCCUUUGUACACACCGCCCGUCGCUCCUACUGAUUUCGAGUGAUCCGGUGAAUCAUUCGGACCGCGGCCCCUAGGCAUGCGGAAAGUCUAGUAAACCAUAUCACUUAGAGGAAGGAGAAGUCGUAACA
rnacentral:rRNA from 1 species